rnacentral:misc_RNA from 1 species
UUAAAAAAAAAUAAAAAACAAUCGACCUCAACAGAAGUUCCUUUCUUGGAUGAUACUCCAUAUUAAGAACCAGUACAUGGAUUUGUCAAAUUAGCCUUCAUGAUUAAGACCGGCUUAAUGAGGGCAUCAAGAUCAUUUUCCUGCAUUUCAGAGAAUUCAGAAUCGCACGGAAUCUGCUCAAAGUCCAUCAGAUCAUCAACUUCAACAUC